rnacentral:rRNA from 1 species
GAUGAACGCUAGCUCCAUGCUUAACACAUGCAAGUCGAGGGACCGGCGCACGGGUGCGUAACACUUAUCCAACAUGCCCUUUACUCGGGGAUCGCCUUUCGAAAGGAAGAUUAGUAACCGAUAUAAAGGAUGGGGAUGCGUUCCAUUGGGUUGUAGGUGAGGUAACGGCUCACAAAGACUUCGAUGGAUAGGGGUUCUGGGAGGAAGGUCCCCCACAUUGGAACUGGGACAAGGUCCAAACUCGUACUGGAGGAAGCAGGGAGGAAGUGUGGUAAAUGGGCGCUAGCCUGAACCAGCCAAGUAGCGUGAAGGAUGAAGGCUUAUGGGUCGUAAACUUCUUUUAUAUAAGAAUAGGUAUUAUAUCAAUAAGGAUCGGCUAACUCCGUGCCAGCAGCCGCGGUAAUAC